GAAGGAAAUGACAACCCACUAGUAUUCUUGCCUGAAGAAUCCCAUGGACAGAGGAGCCUCUUGGGCUACAGUCCAUGGAGUUGAACAGAGUCGGACACGACUGAGCGACUUUCACUCACUCUCUCAGCAAUGGGUAAGCACCUGGCAGUAACAGGAAAACCUUGUGUCUGUGUAUGCUAAGUUGCUCCAGUCGUGUCCGACUCUGAGUGACCCUAUGGACUGUAACCUGCCAGGCUUCUCUCUCCAUGGGAUUCUCCAGGCAAGAAUACUGGAGUGGGUUGCUGUUUCCUCCUCUAGAAGGUCUUCCUAACCCAGGGAUCGAACCCUUGUCCCUUAUGCCUCCUGAAUUGGUGGGCAAGUGCUUUAGCACUAGCGCCACCUGUGGCAAAGGGAGGCCCUUACAUUUUACAUUUACAAAACAUUUUCAUAUUUAUUAUCUCAUGUGGGCAGCCAUUACUGUUUCAAUUUUUCAUUCUUCCUGCUGAGGGUUUUCCACAGAGUUGCAGAGCUAACUAAUGGAAGAGCCUACCUUCAAGCCCAGGCCUCCGGACUCCCAGAUUACAGCCCUCCCCAUCCCUGGGCCACACCACCUGUUUCGACACCAGAAGUAUCUCUUGUAUUGACCAGGGUAGGAAAACAGCAGUUUUCCACGUGGAUGAAAACACAGCUAACUAGGGCAUCUCAUUCACUGCUGGUAGAAGCAUAAAUGGACAAGCAUUGGAAAAAAGAGUUUGGUGAAAUGUAUUAACACUGCUCCUCUACACUUUUACCCAUUAAUUUUAUUUCUAGGAAUCUAUCCUAAGGAAUUAAUACUAAGGAUAUGUGACUAAAGAUUUACAUAGGAAUGUGUUUACUGGAAUGCUACUUAUAAUAUCCACCAAUAGGAGGUUAGUUAAGAGUAUUAUGAUACAUUCCAAUGAUGAAAUGUUAGCAAAGUCAUUAAAAACCUCAUUUUGAAGAUUAUUGAUAGUAAAUAAAUAUUGAGAAGAUAUUCAUGAUAUAAGAUGUAAUGAAAAAAGUCAGCAUCCAGAUAGUGUAGCUACCAGAGGAAAAAAAGAAUUUAUGGAAAUGUUAACAAUGCUUAACUGUGGGUGAUGAAAUUAUAAAUAAUAUUUUUAAAUUUUUAGUCAUUUCUCAUGUUCCAUAUAGAGCAUGUAGCAAUUUUAUAGUGAGGAAAAAUUCUAUUUAACUUUUUAAAUAUAGUAAAAACAGAGUAAACACUAAAAGCAAAUAGUGGUUAGUAUUUAAAAUCAUCAUUUUACCUAUGCUAGUCUAUAAACUAGCUCAUGUAAAGAGAAAAACAAACAAAUGGAGGGCUAAUUUGUUACGUUGCCAAGGAGAAGAUGAUACAAGAUUUAUGAUAUAAGAUUUGUAAUAGAGUGUGUGGUAAAUACUUAAAGCUAGAAAAUUUUGGCUCCAAACAAUUGACUCUGUUGCAUGAGCUGAGCCAGUUCCACUAAAUGUGCAGGAGCUGGGCUCUAGGAAGCCUUGCUACGAGAACUUCUUGAAAGUUCCUCUACCGGGUAGUCACGUGGUUUCUGCCUUCACUGUCUUUGGCCCUGGCUUGUCCUGUGGGAUCAGGAGAAGCAGGCUCAGCCCUGAACAACAUCCCCAGCAAGCAAAAGCCCAGAGAUAAUUUGGGACUUUCUAGGAGGGAAGAAAGAGAAGUACAGACCCAGAGGGAAAGCAGCCGAAGGACUCGGGGUUAACAUUCCACUCUGGGAGGAGACUUUAGUCCUUGGAGGGCUUCCAGUCUGAACUUGGAGAAUUCAUCAACAGGAAAACAAAUAGCUGGCGUGCACUGUAUUUACUCUGCCUUUCUCAAGGUUGCAACAUAAAUUUCCCAACUUUGCUAGCUGUUAAGGCUGAGGAGACAUUUUGUGAAUUCAGGGCCUUUCUUCCGGCCCGUGUGACCCACGCGUGGAGCCCCAUUUGGGGAAGAUCUAGACCCCCUCGGGGUGCAGGGGAAGAUGAUGUAGACACUGUUGGACUCUGGCGCCGCACACAGUGUUGGGGUGUCAAGGAGCUGGAGAACUUGAAUUCUUCAAACGAGAGCUCCAGAUAAAUCUCGUCUCUAAUCUGGAUGCAGAGCAACGUCUUGUGCAAAGGAAAGGAAGCCCUUCCACCACCCUGAUGACACCCAUAUAAAUCACAGGCUUUAUUCGUCUGCUGUGAGGGGCAUUGCAGAUCGGAGCAACGUCGCAGACUCUCAUUGGGUGAUGCUUCAUUACUUGGUGGAAAAUCCCCAGAGCCAAAACAUUAUUUAAAUGUGAUAUGAAAAUAAACAUGAUUUAUAUGUG